UGUUUCUUACUGAGGCAUGGCUAGC
rnacentral:piRNA from 1 species